AGGGCACCACCAGGAGUGGAGCCUGCGGCUUAAUUUGACUCAACACUGGAAACCUCACCCGGCCCGGACGCGGACAGGAUUGACAGAUCGAUGGCUCUUUCUCGAUUCCGUGGGUGGUGGUGCACGGCCGUUCUUAGUUGGUGGAGCGAUUUGUCUGGUUAAUUCCGGUAACGAACGAGACACUCGCGUGCUAACUACUUAUGCGACCCCUGAGCGGUCGGUGUCCCCCAACUUAGAGGGACAAGUGGCGUUCAGCCACCCGAGAUUGAGCAAUAACAGGUCUGUGAUGCCCUUAGAUGUCCGGGGCUGCACGCGCGCUACACUGACUGGCUCAGCGUGUGUCUACCCUACGCCGGCAGGUGCGGGUAACCUGUUGAACCCCAUUCACGAUGGGGAUCAGGGAUCGGAGAUUGCAAUUAUUCCCCAUGAACGAGCAAUUCCCAGUAAGUGCGGCCAUAAGCUUGCGUUCAGUCCCUGCCCUUUGUACACACCGCCCGUCGCUACUACCGAUUGGAUGGU
rnacentral:rRNA from 1 species